GAACGGUAACAGGUCUUCGGACGCUGACGAGUGGCGAACGGGUGAGUAAUACAUCGGAACGUGCCCAGUCGUGGGGGAUAACUACUCGAAAGAGUAGCUAAUACCGCAUACGAUCUGAGGAUGAAAGCGGGGGACCUUCGGGCCUCGCGCGAUUGGAGCGGCCGAUGGCAGAUUAGGUAGUUGGUGGGAUAAAAGCUUACCAAGCCGACGAUCUGUAGCUGGUCUGAGAGGACGACCAGCCACACUGGGACUGAGACACGGCCCAGACUCCUACGGGAGGCAGCAGUGGGGAAUUUUGGACAAUGGGCGAAAGCCUGAUCCAGCAAUGCCGCGUGCAGGAUGAAGGCCUUCGGGUUGUAAACUGCUUUUGUACGGAACGAAAAAGCUUCUCCUAAUACGAGAGGCCCAUGACGGUACCGUAAGAAUAAGCACCGGCUAACUACGUGCCAGCAGCCGCGGUAAUACGUAGGGUGCGAGCGUUAAUCGGAAUUACUGGGCG
rnacentral:rRNA from 1 species